UGCGUAGGUGGUGGGGAAAGUCGGAUGUGAAAUCUCGGAGCUCAACUCCGAAAUGGCAUUGGAAACUACCCUGCUUGAGGUUUGGAGGGGGGACUGGAAUUCUCGGUGUAGCAGUGAAAUGCGUAGAUAUCGAGAGGAACACCAGUGGCAAAGGCGAGUCCCUGGACAAAACCUGACACUGAGGCACGAAAGCUAGGGGAGCAAACA
rnacentral:rRNA from 1 species